GCCUGGUGGUUCCUUGAGGCAGCUCUCAUGCUGCUCAUCGAGGCUGUAAUUACAGGCAGACAUUGACUUCUGUGAUGUAAUGCUUGAGAGCUGCUUACCUCCUAUGGCUUUCAGAGCCCGGUCACAGAAACAUUG